rnacentral:rRNA from 1 species
AUGAACGCUGGCGGCGUGCCUAACACAUGCAAGUCGAACGGAUUUACUCGCUGCAGAGACUUCGGUCAAAGCUUGAGUAAAGUAGUGGCGGACGGGUGAGUAACGCGUGGGCAACCUGCCUCAUACUGGGGGGAUAACAGUUGGAAACGACUGUUAAUACCGCAUAAGCGCACAGUGUCGCAUGACACAGUGUGAAAAACUCCGGUGGUAUGAGAUGGGCCCGCGUCAGAUUAGCUAGUUGGCGGGGUAACGGCCCACCAAGGCGACGAUCUGUAGCCGGACUGAGAGGUCGGACGGCCACAUUGGGACUGAGACACGGCCCAAACUCCUACGGGAGGCAGCAGUGGGGGAUAUUGCACAAUGGAGGAAACUCUGAUGCAGCGACGCCGCGUGAAGUGAAGAAGUAUUUCGGUAUGUAAAGCUCUAUCAGCAGGGAAGAAAGGCUCGCAAGAGAGAUGACGGUACCUGACUAAGAAGCCCCGGCUAACUACGUGCCAGCAGCCGC